ACUGGUCUCGCAGCCUUUAUAGAAUUCCUCCUCACAAAGAACAAUGUAGUUCUGGAGCUUCUGACGUCAAGUUUCGCCAUGCUACAGGGGGCUUGUUUCUUGCAGAUUGGUUUUGUCCUGUAUCCCACAAACAUAGAACAUGCAUGGGACCUGAAUGAUCCUAACAACUCUAUGAUUUUUUCCACACUCUUUGGUGCUUAUUAUGCAUCGAUCUAUGUCAUCAUUGGAGUUAAUUAUGCUCUUGUUAGCUGCUUUCUUUUUCCUAAGGUUCAUUAAGUUGAAACUAAGCAAGCCCUGCCCCUCAGAAAUUCAAUCUCUGAAAAAUUAUGAACAGCACGAAGACUCAGAAGACGAUAUGUGAUUUUUGUGUCCAGUUUCUUCAGUUCUCCAAGAGAAAAAGUUGACCAAGAUAUUUCUAUUUUUUUCUCCAUCUUUAUUAAAUUGGGUAUUUAGUAUUUAAAUUUCUUUUUUUUUCCUUUUCUCCAUCUUUAUUAAAUUGGGUAUUUCGUAUUUAAAUUUCUUUUUUUCCUUUUCUCCAUCUUUAUUAAAUUGGUUAUUUCUU
rnacentral:lncRNA from 1 species